rnacentral:rRNA from 1 species
GAUGAACGCUGGCGGCGUGCCUAACACAUGCAAGUCGAGCGAACAGACGAGGAGUUUGCUCCUCUGACGUUAGCGGCGGAGGGGUGAGUAACAUGUGGAUAACCUACCUAUAAGACUGGGAUAACGUCGGGAAACCGGGGCUAAUACCGAAUAAUAUAUUGAACCGCAUGGUGCAAUAGUGAAAUACGGUUUUGGUGUCAGUUAUAGAUGGAUCCGCGCCGCAUUAGCUAGUUGGUAAGGUAACGGCUUACCAAGGCAACGAUGCGUAGCCGACCUGAGAGGGUGAUCGGCCACACUGGAACUGAGACACGGUCCAGACUCCUACGGGAGGCAGCAGUAGGGAAUCUUCCGCAAUGGGCGAAAGCCUGACGGAGCAACGCCGCGUGAGUGAUGAAGGUCUUCGGAUCGUAAAACUCUGUUAUUAGGGAAGAACAAAUGUGUAAGUAACCAUGCAGGUCUUGACGGUACCGGAUCAGAGAGCCACGGCUAACUACGUG